UACGUAGGGGGCGAGCGUUGUCCGGAUUUAUUGGGCGUAAAGAGCUCGUAGGCGGUUCCGUCAGUCGGGUGUGAAAACUCUGGGCUCAACCCAGAGACGCCACCCGAUACUGCGGUGACUAGAGUCCGGUAGGGGAGUGCGGAAUUCCUGGUGUAGCGGUGAAAUGCGCAGAUAUCAGGAGGAACACCAACGGCGAAGGCGGCAUCCUGGACCGAGAUUGACGCUGAUGCGCGAAAGCCAGGGGAGCAAACGGG
rnacentral:rRNA from 1 species